GACGAACGCUGGCGGCGUGCUUAACACAUGCAAGUCGAACGGAAAGGCCCUGCUUUUGUGGGGUGCUCGAGUGGCGAACGGGUGAGUAACACGUGAGUAACCUGCCCUUGACUUUGGGAUAACUUCGGGAAACUGGGGCUAAUACCGGAUAGGAGCUCCUGCUGCAUGGUGGGGGUUGGAAAGUUUCGGCGGUUGGGGAUGGACUCGCGGCUUAUCAGCUUGUUGGUGGGGUAGUGGCUUACCAAGGCUUUGACGGGUAGCCGGCCUGAGAGGGUGACCGGCCACAUUGGGACUGAGAUACGGCCCAGACUCCUACGGGGGGCAGCAGUGGGGAAUAUUGCACAAUGGGCGGAAGCCUGAUGCAGCAACGCCGCGUGCGGGAUGACGGCCUUCGGGUUGUAAACCGCUUUCGCCUGUGACGAAGCGUGAGUGACGGUAAUGGGUAAAGAAGCACCGGCUAACUACGUG
rnacentral:rRNA from 1 species